CCUACGGUGUGCAGCAGUGAGGAAUAUUGGUCAAUGGCCGAGAGGCUGAACCAGCCAAGUCGCGUGAGGGAAGACGGCCCUACGGGUUGUAAACCUCUUUUGUCGGGGAGCAAAGCGAACCACGUGUGGUUCAUUGAGAGUACCCGAAAAAAAAGCAUCGGCUAACUCCGUGCCAGCAGCCGCGGUAAUACGGGGGAUGCGAGCGGUAUCCGGAUUUAUUGGGUUCAAAGGGUGAGCAGGCGGAGGUGCAAGUCAGCGGUCAAAUUGCGGGGCUCAACCCCGUACUGCCGUUGAAACUGCAUCCCUUGAGUGCGCGAGAAGUAUGCGGAAUGCGUGGUGUAGCGGUGAAAUGCAUAGAUAUCACGCAGAACGCCGAUUGCGAAGGCAGCAUACCGGCGCGCAACUGACGCGCAUGCACGAAAGCGUGGGUAUCGAACAGGAUUAGAUACCCUAGUAGUC
rnacentral:rRNA from 1 species